rnacentral:lncRNA from 1 species
CAGAAGGACAGUGGGGUCAGCAGGGGUCUGCAGCUGGAUCCCACCCGCUCUGAUCCAGCAGCCGCCAGUCGGGGUCAGGGUGCGUCCGAGGUACGGUCCUACCGCGCGGCCGCGGCGCCGCGUCCCGCCUGUCCGCGCCCCUGGACUUGGUCGAAGCUCCUCAGUGUCUGUGGAAGAGAAAGCUGAGGAGUCUGGAACAAGUACAGGGUCCUGGACUCUUGGCCCAUCGUGUGACGGUCACGGAAAUGGACCGGCGCCGAGAAGGCGUCCUUCGCCCCGGCGAGAACGCGCGAUGGCGGUGCGACCCCGUACAACCACGGUUUGUCUGCUGGUAAUCCACACGACUUGAUAGCGAGAGCCACCGCAUU